rnacentral:lncRNA from 1 species
AUAGUUUGAAUUUUGUGGAUAGAGGACAAAAAUUUAUCAAUGCACCACUUUUUUUAGAUAAAAGUCCUUGAGCCCUGGUUUAAAGCCUUUUACUGAAAGCAGAUCAUAAACAAAUUACGGGUGCUGGGGUUACCAGCUCACAAUCCAGGUUCAGAACACAGAAACUAAAACUCAGUUUAACUAGCCACAGCCAAAACAGACUAACACUAAACAAACCCUUACUCACAAUACAAUCAUCCCACCAAAUAUCUUCCAAAGACCAAAAGAAAGAAAACAGUCUAUCCCACUCCAGUUCUCCAUCUGAUAUGAUUCAGAUUACUAGCCACUCCCUGGAUCUCCCGAAUCAUUUGUUCCAUGCCAUCUUCUUCGUUUUGCUUCAGCAACGUCUUCCAGUGCCUAAGAAGCAAAAUGAGAUGAAAAAUAAUUGUUAAAGGGGAAGUAAUCGGUUUCUUUCUAAAGAUCAUAUCAUUUCUAACAAUCCAAAGAUUCCAGCUAACAGCCACAAGCAAGGCAACUCUAAUUCGCACUUGUUUGUUACCAGCUCUCCCUAGCAUUAACCAAUGAAAAUGUUCAAAAUUAGUAGGAAUCAUACUCCAACCCAAAGCAUCUCUGCAAAUGCACCACACAAAAACAUCCGUAGGGCAAUCAAAAAUAAUAUGUUGAGUAUUCUCUAUUAGGCUGCAUCUGCAACAGAAUUCAGAGCCACCCCAACCUCUCUCUUUUGAUUGCACUGGCAAUUGUAUUCUAUCUUUUUCUGCUAGCCAAAGAAAAUGUUUAAAUUUCAGAGGGCAAGAGGUGUUCCAGAUAUCCUCCAUUCUAGCAUCCUUUACACAUCUAAGCCUUAGAGUUCUGUACAUAGAUCUAACAGUAAAACUCUUAGUGUUUUCUAGCUCCCAUUAGAUUUUGUCAACAUCUCCUACUAGUUGAACAUCUCUAAUUUUUGCUUCUAGCUCAUGCCAACAUCUUAAAGUCAAAAUCAAUAAAAGAUCUUCUAAAAGUUAGAUUAUGAAAAUUACCAUCCACCACCUCUUCAACCAUUGCCUCUUGUUGAUUACAAAUGUUAAAAAUAUUACUAUACAUUACUUUUAGUGAUACAUCAUAAAGCCAAACAUCAUUCCAAAAAUUGACCUGGUUUCCAUAUCCUAGUGACCACUUGCUAUCUAUCUUAAAUCACCUCUUAAUUUGUAACAAACCUUUCCAAAAUUGAGAAGCACCAGAUCCAUCACUUUGGAAGAAACAAGAACCAUAAGAUAUUUCCUCCUUAGGAGGUUCAGACAAGGACUCCUCAGACAUAAUAUCAAAAAUCCAUUUGGAUAACAAAGCAAUAUUCAUACUUCUAGUGUUAGUAAACCCAAGCCUCCAAACUCUUUAGGUAGAGUCAGAUCACUCCACUUGAUCAUAUGAUACUUCCUUUUCUCACUAAUGCCAACCCAGUAAAAUUUCCCUCUAAUAGAAUUCAUUUAUUUUUAUUAGUCAAACUCUUCUUGCGUUCCCUUUCCUUUUCUUCCUCCACCUCAUUAAAACUCUUAUCCUGCACCACAGGAUCAAAUAACAUAUCCUUCUCCAAUUUUUCUUCCUUUUUCAGUUGCUCAUUCCCCAAGCUGAUUCAGCUAUGCACCAUUUUUUUAUUGGGCUGCUGGAGGAUUUUGGUUCUAACAUACUGUCCAUGAUGCAGGAGCUUGCAACCGUGGUCCCAACACUUGAUACUUCAGGACUUGAUCUUCUAUCUGUAAGUGACCUGUUGAUGUUAUUGAUUCCAUGCUGCAUUUCAUAUGAUUUCCCCGCAGAAACAAAGGCCACUUUUCCUUUGUAGUUUACUCAUUAUUUCUGUUAUAUAUAUUCGGCUUGGUGGUGUUUGGGUUGUUUAGUGGACUAUUGGGAUUGUUGCCAGGUUCUAAACUUGAGUUCCCACAUUAAUUCGGGCACACAUGUGAACACAUUCCCUUCUCUGUAGUAUAUUUUGCCAUGCUAUAAGCAGUAAACAGACAGUAGGUGCAUCUUGAUUGUCACCUAUCAGGCUGUAGCCAUGUAUUCAUUUCUCUUGCUAUGUUGGUCGGAGUGCACUUUAUUAGUUGUAUGUAGACAGGGAAGUCUCUAACAUGGAUAUUGGGUAAUUGGAGUCUGUCCAUUCUCAUUAUAUGGCUGUACCGCCAUUUACAUUAAACACCAAGCAAAAAAUUGCAUUGCUUAUGAAUUUAUUUUUUUAAUCCGUGUGAAGCAUUGUAUGCUGAAUCACACGUAUCAGAAUUAGAGCACACACUACCAAGAACUAGAUGAUAUACUAUCAGUGACAUUAUUUGCUUCCCACCUUUCAUUUCUCCAUCACAAACACUUUUAUUUUCUGUUUUUGUGCAUCCAUGCCCUUGCUGACUGCUGUACUCGCCUCACACAGAAAAUGCUCCGUUUAGAUCCAAGCACAAGAAUCACCGCCCGUGCUGCCCUCGAGCACGAGUACUUCAAGGACCUGGAAGUAGCGUAGAUUAUGUUUCAUCUUGCCCCAUUGUAAAUUAAAAUUGCAUUGAUUGCUCAGCCGAGUUCUUUUUUGGCUUUCCCUAAUCUAAGUUCGUGUGCUCUUCCCCCAUUCUUAUUUUUGCCCUUCGGUUGUGUAGAGAUGAGAACAGAAGGUACCACCUUGCUGUCUCCGUGUAAGUCGUUCCAAUUAAGAAAGAUCCUUUUUCUGGGAGCUCUACGUUGCAAUUUUGUGUCCUAUCUUAUCUUUUUUCACUUGUGCUUAUACUUAUUAUAAACCAAAAUUGAAAUUUUUAACCUUAAAUUUGGAGUUGAUUUUGGGUUCUCUUAUCGUAGUUUAUUUUUCAGCCUUAGUUUUUAGAUUACUAAGAACAUAUAUAUAAACGUUUAUUUAAAUAUUAUUUUUUGUUUGCAAAUACAUCGUUUCAUUAUCCGUGAAGCCUAGAUCCAAGGUCCCAGAGCAUUGCCUGGUCAUUAAUCUGCCAAUAUGGCAUGGACUUCUCCAGCCAACCAAUCAGUUUAAUUUCACUAUUUUACGGCAUUUUUCAACUGAUGUGAAAAUGUUUGAUCUUAUAUCUUCUUUAAAGAUUUGACAUACUUCACUUGCUGGAAUACAUGCUCAUGGGAAUGGACCAUUGGAAUCAGAAAGAAAGUUACUGUUGCAUUUGGCCUCACGCCUGAAUGUUGCUAUGGAUCGGAGGACCAAUGACAAUGAAUCGAUUUUUGUAUGCAAGCGAUGGCGAUGUUCUUGUGCAGUGGAGUAUACAAGAGGAGGAUUCAGCAGGACGAGUUAAUGGCCUUAAAUUGUGUCCCCAAGAAGCAGCGAAAGCAGUUGGACAAUACUGUUGCAGACUUGCAGGUGCAGUGCAGGGUAAAUAUAAAGUGAGGCACAUGUAAAAGCCGUCUGCAAUGACACCGUCACGAAGAUGACGUGAAUAUGUCUGAAAAUUAUCAAAUCAUCUGUCGGUUUAUAUGUACCUAGACAUUUUACGUGACGUGUUUGGAUGGAUAUGUUGAUUGAUAAAAUGUCCUUGCACGUGGAAAUGUGACAAUUUUAAAUCUUGAGUAAAUUGCAUAAAACUAUAUAUAUAUAUAUAUAUAUUGAUUAAAUUAUCCCAAAACUAUAUAUUUAAAGUGAUGUAUCGGAAAACUAUAGAUUUAAUUCUAAAUUUAUCACAAGACUAUAGAUCAAAGAUUGAAAUUAUCCAAAAGUUACACAUUUUAGAGUUUAAAUCCCUAUCACUACCAUUGUAUUCGAGCUAUGAACAUUUUAGUUUUGUGAUAGAAUUAACAUUAAGUACAUAAAUAUGUGACAAUUUUGUUGCUAAAUCUAUUGUUUUGCAAUGCUUAAUAUAAAAUUUACAGUUUUAUGAUAAAAUUGCCACUAAAUUUGUAGUUUUAUGAUAGUUUGAUAAAAGUUCAUAUAGUUUUGUGAAAUUUGCCCUAAAAUCUCUAUGUGAAUUUAAAAUUAAGGAAUAAAUCUUACAAAUUGCAUAUGGUUGCGCAAGGAGAAAAUAAGGGCAUGUUUGGUUACCUUCUCCAAGCCAGGCUUGCAUCCGUGCAUGCAAUUGAUGAUGUUUAGUUGCCUGCACGCGCUUUAGGAUCAGGCUCCGAGCAUGCAAAAUCGCCUCUCCAGUUAGGCUCAAGAGAAACGCUCGGGUCGAGCUUUACUCCUCGUCCGAGCAUGGCGUCUGCAGAUGCGAGGAUAUCAAGAGGAGCAGCCUGAGGUCGAUGAGAUCUAGGCGACUAUUUUUAGGUUUUUUAAUCGAUAUAAUAUGUGUAUUUGCUGAUUUUUGUGAAAAUAAUUUAUGAAUAAAAAAUUAUAUACUUUUCGUAACGUCUAAAAAACCAAAUUCAAUUAAAAAUUUAAUUUUUAACUUAUAAAUAUAAUAAAAACGGAAAGAGGUCAAUGCUAGUUUAACCUGUCUAGAAUAACAUAACGGUGAGAGCAAAGCGUUAGGAUGCAAAUGGAUGGCCAGAAAGUUAUUUUGCACGCCACGCUCGGCCGACUUUUCCUCUGUGCGAGGGAGGCAGGUGACGGAGGGCCCACAUGGUGAGAGUGCGUGGAAAGGGCUGGUGGGUCCCACCGGACAGUGGGUGGGUAGCGGUGAAAAGAAACGGUGGGCCGUGGACCGGCGCGCGAGACUCGAGGCCAUAGGAGGGGGUGGUUUUGGCGUUUCGUUUUGAGUGAUUUGGGCGGGGUGGGGCCCACGUGUGCUCUUCAUCUUAUUUAAUUUUUUUGCGAUUAAUAUUUUUAUUGUUACUUGGUGAUAAAAUAUAAAUAAUAUUUUAUGUGUAAUUAAUUUUUUAAGUUUUUAUAAAUUUUUUAAAUAAAAAGGAUAACAAAAACGUUGGACAUAAAAAAAAUUAAAAUAAUUACGUGACAGCCCCAAAUUCGCGCCAAAUCCUGAUCAAGCUCAGCCAGCUUCGCGGGGGGUCGAGUUGACUUGACUAAAAGCACGGAUCCCGUCACCCGACUCGGUUACGCGGACCACACGUCCCUCCUGUGGUUUUUGGCGCGAAACGAGGCCAAAAUUUUUCCCGGCGUUGGCGGUGACCGCACCCGCCUUCCCGCGCCAUGUUAUCCGAAGCAUAUGGACUAUGUCAAACCCUCCCCAGCGCCCACGGACCCCAACGCGCAACGCUCGGUGUACAUGGACCACCGGGAGCGCGUGAGGUGGGAUAGUUGCGGUGCUGGUGGACCGGGAGCAUGGUGGGCGAGGGUUUUGGUCGUCUGGCCCAGCUGCAAUUUGUUUUUGCUAAUCAGGUUGCAUCUCGUGAUUAAACUUGAAAACAACGCGUGCUAACGAGGACUCGUUUGACCGGACCGUGUGGGUAUUGCUUCAUACGUGGCACGGGGUUGACACGGUGUGCCACGUCAGUAGCGGUUAUUGAUAGUCUGUCAGGCUCCAGAUGGAUGGACCAGGCUCAUACGCCAUCGCAAGACACGACUUUUUUACCCUUGAUUGAUAUAUGAUGCACAACAACAAGUGCCAUGGCGUAUUGAUUAUUUAUGCUAAUAUGUGAACUUAUGAGAUUGAGAUGCUCGUAAGUCAUAACAAUGGUUAGAACUAAUAUUCAUUUUUAUAGACAUAGAUAUAUGAAAACAAAACUAUACUCAAAGAUAUAAUGGCAAUAAAAGUUUUGAUCUUAUAGACUAGUAUCCUUAUGUUAGUAAAUUUUAAAUGUUACGUAGAAACGAUAGCAUGUCAAAAUUUAUUAGCAUAGAAAAUGUUCAUGAGGCUAGAACUAUGAACCAUGAUUAACCUAACAAGCACCAUCUAUCUCAUCUUCACAAUAAUUUCUUAUAAGAGCAUUAUGCUAAAACACUCAUGCACAACAUAAGUCAUAACAUUCAAUGCAACUCCAAGAUAGCAUAAUACUUUAAUUACUUUGCAACAUAAGGAGAUAUAAUUGUUCAGACCAACCGUUGUGAGCAGGGUUCACGAAACCGUGAGAGGACCUCCGACCGCGACAUGGUAGAGGUGCGGUUAUCGUACGGUAACCGCGGUAACCGUUGAUGCCACCACAAAAUCAAAUUUCAACUGUUCGUAUUCAAAAUCCAUGGUUACCGCAGCUUUGUCAUGCAAAACCACGCAAUUUGUAGUCAAAACCGUGUGAUUUGAGCAAAAAACCGUGACAAGCAUGAUCCGAAGGUAGAAAACUGUAAAGAAAAAUCUGAAAAACCGUAAAAACAAAAUAGUAGGUAGCUUUAACUAUAGGACAUGUUUUUGGGGAAAAAAGAAAAAUUGUGGCAUGACAUUUAUAAAAUCCGUGACAUUGCAAUAAAUAUAUACAUAACAAAUAAUAAGGCACAAUUAUUACACAAUAUAGAUGAUAUUCCAAACACAUUUCAAACCAUAAAUAGUAGAAUUGAUCAUAAAUAGGCUAGUGUCCAUACUCCAUAGACUAUAUGAUAAAUAGAGUGUCUAUGAUACAAUACAUAACAUAAUACCAAGCAAUAGUUCAAAUUUAAAUAUAGCAGUGUCCACUGUACAAUACAAAAUAUUUUGGUCCCCUCCAUGUUUUGCUCCAUUGCUCAUGGAUGAGGAUAGAUAUUUUGGUCCCCAACUUCUCUUGGGCCCUGACGGGCCUUCAAAUGAACAAUUCCAUUUUUUUUUCUUUUUGUUUGCCUUUUUCACUAAUGUUUUUAAAUAGUUGGGAAAUACAUAUUUUUCAUAUAUUUAUCACACAAAAUUAUAUUAUAAAUCAACCUCUACCUUUUUUUUGCUAAUUUUCUGAAAUUUUUAAAAUUCACCUCAAUUUUGGUGGUCCCUAUCGUGGCCGUGCCAUUAUCGUCCCUCAGCGGAGGUCGCAGUUAGCACAGCUUCACCGACCCUGACUGUGAGUCUAAUUUGUAGAUGCAUAAUACUAUUACAUAUAAUAUAUGUUGUGUUGUUAAAAAAGUCCAUUGAUACUACGAUACCUAUAAAAAAAACUCUUUAACCUUACAAUAUGGACAUAGACCAAUAUGCACCGUUCAUCUAACAAAAUUCAGACUUUAUACAAAGUUAAUAUCCCGUCUGUAGGGAAAAUCAACUACUCCCUCCAUUUCAUAAUGUAAGAUAUUUGACUUUUUUUGGUUGUACAUUUGACUAUUCGUUUUAUUCAAAAAUUUAGUAUAAAUAUAAAAAAUGAUAAGUCAUGCUUAAAGUUAUUUUGAUAAUAAAAUAAGUCAUAAGCAAAAUAAAUAAUAUUUCCAUAAUUUUUAAAAAUAAAACAAAUGAUUAACAUUAAGAAAUCAAACAUCUUAACCGAGAGAAGAGAGAGAGGGGUAUUUGACACACAUUGUCUUAACUGUUGUCACCGUAAUUUCAUGUGAAAAUAUUAAGGUGCGCACGCGACUGGCACGCCCCCCGUUUGAUAGUGACGACGGCACAGUCCAGCCCAAGUCGCCCCCUCCUCACAAGUCCACCACACACUCACAAGUCCACUCGUCUUCCCCUCACCCAUCCACGCCGCCGCCGCCUCCCGGAUCGCCCCGACAAUGGACCAGGUGAGCCCACCCGACCGCUCCCCUACUCCUGUCGUGUCCAGUCCAUCCUCGCCGGAUGGCGUGGGAGCUGGGAGGCCAUGGCGCUGACGAUGAGUGUGGUUUGGCCGGCGGCGCAGUACGAGAAGGUGGAGAAGAUCGGGGAGGGGACGUACGGCGUGGUGUACAAGGGGAAGGACCGGCAGACCAACGAGACGAUCGCGCUCAAGAAGAUCCGCCUCGAGCAGGAGGACGAGGGCGUCCCUUCCACUGCCAUCCGCGAGAUCUCGCUGCUCAAGGAGAUGCAGCACCGGAACAUCGUCAAGUAAGCCACCCCCGCCCGCGUCUCCCUCCCUCUUCCGGCCGCCGUCCCUCUGGUUGGUUGCGUCAAUGGAUUGUGAAUGCUUGCUUCUGCUGUGGAUUGUGCCGUCAGGCUGCAGGACGUCGUGCAUAACGAGAAAUGCAUAUACCUAGUCUUCGAGUACCUUGAUCUCGACCUCAAGAAGCACAUGGACUCCUCCCAGGAUUUCAAGAAUCACCGCAUAGUCAAAGUAAGAUGUUGACACUAACAUCCUCUUUUCUUUGUUUCACUGAAAGUGUGGAAUGCGCUAGUCAUUGUGUACUGAAACGGGGAAUGUGAUUGUGAUGCUAUCCCGUGCCACGAGUGCAGUCUUUCCUCUAUCAGAUUCUCCGGGGCAUUGCAUACUGUCACUCGCACCGUGUUCUCCACCGAGAUUUGAAGCCCCAGAACCUACUGAUAGAUCGGCGUACAAACUCAUUGAAGCUUGCUGACUUUGGAUUGGCCAGGGCAUUUGGCAUUCCUGUUCGGACAUUUACUCACGAGGUACAUUUUUUCAGCCUGUCAUGUUAUUUUUUUGAUUUUCAGUCCUUGCAAUGCACAACGCACUACAGAAGAGGGAAAUUGUCUAAUAGUGAAGAAGUGCAGCUACUUCUUAUGAGUUCCUCUAGAAAUUAACAUUGCAUCCUUCAGUACAAUGCAUUCGGAUGGGAGGCAUUCUAUUAAGUAGGUCACAUGUGUACUCCUUUGCUAUAUGUGUACUGUCUGAUUCAUUGAAUAUAAUGAAUGUAGUCAUGGAGAUAUGAAAAUUACGAACUAUGUCAUGACUGCCAACAGUAGAUUGAUGUCGCUCAUUAGUGCUCACUGUUUUUGUGGUACAUGUUAAGGUUGCUUGUGUUUCCCUUCACUCGUCACUUUCAUCAACUGUUUGAAGAAUCAAUGGUAGACAAUUUUCCUACCCUGCUUUCAUAGUGCAUUUUUCCCCAAAUUGCAUUUUUACUCCACUUUGUGGCAAUAUCUGGCAAAACCUAUAAAAUCAGCAUGAAUACCUGGACCUUUUUCUUUAGUGUGCACCAUCUAUUUCAACCUUUAUGACAACUCCUGCAAAAGAACAAUGCAAUUUCUAAACUUGAAAGGUGGACACAAAAAGGACUAAGUACAUGCAUACUGACAUACAUCGAAUAUAGGCUUUGGUAAAAAAAAAUCUGAAAGUUAACCAGAAUAAUUAUAGAGCAAUUUCCACAUGUUCUGUAUCUGGAAUGCUGCAGACCGUAGAUUAAAUUAUCCUAAUCUAGAAUAAUGGAUAACACAAUGAGAAUCUUUCUGUCUUGAUGGUUGAUGCAAGCCUAGCGCCAGGUUUGGACUGUAGCAGGCAUAGUAUUACCAAGAUCUUGUGAUGAACACCUUUUGCCCUUCUAUUUUUACUUUGUUUCGUCUUAACAUAACCCACUGUGGUUUGUUAGGUGGUGACAUUGUGGUACAGAGCACCUGAAAUUCUUCUUGGUGCAAGGCAUUAUUCCACCCCUGUUGACAUGUGGUCAGUUGGUUGCAUUUUUGCUGAAAUGGUGAAUCAGAAGCCACUAUUUCCUGGAGAUUCUGAGAUUGAUGAGCUCUUUAAGAUUUUCAGGUCUUAAUUUCAAAUGUUGUUAAGUCUUGUUUCAUGUUCUUCCUUGUUUCUGAACAAAGCGUCCUAACACGAUCUUUACAUUUUUAUGUGUUCAUAUUAAUGAAGAAUUAUGGGCACUCCAAAUGAAGAAACUUGGCCAGGUGUUGCUUCACUACCCGACUACAAAUCAGCUUUCCCAAAGUGGCCGCCUGUGGUAAAGGAGUGAAAAAAAUCAUAUAGUUUGAAUUUUGUGGAUAGUGGACAAAUUUAUGUAUGUGCCAUUUUUUUUAUUGGGCUGCUGGUUAAUUUUGGUUCUAACAUACUGUCCUGUCCAUGAUGCAGGAGCUUGCAACUGUGGUCCCAACACUUGAUGCUUCAGGACUUGAUCUUCUAUCUGUAAGUGACCUGUGGAUGUUAUUGAUUCCAUGUUGCAUUUCAUAAUAAUUUCCCCACAGAAACAAAGGCCACUUUUCCUUUGUGGUUUAGUCCAUUAUUUGUGUUCUAUAUAUUCAGCUUGGUGGUGUUUGGGUUGCUUAGUGGACUAUUGGGAUUGUUGCCAGGUUCUAAACUUGAGUUCCCACAUUAAUUCGGGAACAGAUGUGAACACAUCCUCUUCUCUGCAGUACAUAUUUCCAUGCUAUAAGCAGUAAACUGACAGUGGGUGCAGCUUGAUUGUCGACUAUCAGGAUGUAGCCAUGUAUUCAUUUAUCUUGCUAUGUUGGUCGCGGUGCUCUUUAUUAGUUUUAUGUAGGCAGGGAAGUCUCUUACAUAGAUAUUGGGUAGUUGGAGCCUGUCCAUUCGGAUUAUAUGGCUGUACCGCCAGUUACAUUAAACACCAAACAAAAGAUUGCAUUGCUUGGUAUAUGAACCUUAUAAUACUGACUUGGGCUGCAAUCUCUGUACAAAUUUAUUUUUUUAAUCCAUGUGGAGCACUAUAUGCUAAAUCACACGUAUCAGAAUUGGAGCACACACUAUCAAGGAUUAGAUGAUAUACUAUUAGUGGCAUUAUUUGCUUUCUACCCAUCAUUUCUCCAUCACAAACACUUAUAUUUUCAGUUUUUAUGCAUCCAUACCCUCGUUGACUGCUGUGCUCGCCUCACGCAGAAAAUGCUCCGUUUAGAUCCAAGCACAAGAAUCACCGCCCGUGCUGCCCUCGAGCACGAGUACUUCAAGGACCUGGAAGUAGCGUAGAUUAUGCUUCAUCUUGCCCCAUUGUAAAUUAAGAUUGCAUUGUUUGCUCAGCCGAGUUCUUUUUUUGCUUUUCUUAAUCUAAGU